rnacentral:rRNA from 1 species
UACGUAGGGCGCAAGCGUUGUCCGGAAUUAUUGGGCGUAAAGAGCUCGUAGGCGGUUUGUCGCGUCUGCUGUGAAAACCUAAGGCUCAACCUUGGGCUUGCAGUGGGUACGGGCAGACUAGAGUGCGGUAGGGGUGACUGGAAUUCCUGGUGUAGCGGUGGAAUGCGCAGAUAUCAGGAGGAACACCGAUGGCGAAGGCAGGUCACUGGGCCGCAAACUGACGCUGGAGGAGCGAAAGCAUGGGAGCGAACAGG